UACACACCUUGGGCGUGUUUCUGGUCGAACAAAAGCAGGAUUAACAAGGGUUACCCUUGUUCUUGCAAAACUCAUCAAUUGACAAGAAAUUCAGUGUUAAUCGGUUGCAUGUUACCGGAUUUCGAUUAACCUAACAUCCUCUAUAAGGUGGCGUGAAGGAAGAAGGUUCAAGUACUAAGAAAUCAGAAGGCUCACAAGAUCGAGGUAAAUCCUCAAUUUAGGCGACUUGGCGAAUUGGAGCGAGCAUGUGUUCAUAAUAUGUCAUACCAAGCGCUUCCGCUAGUUUGUACUAAUGUUUUGGGUCAAAUACUUGUUAAUUUUGCAUAAUCUUGUUAGUAGUCAUACUUUUCAAAACUUGAUGUUAUGGGUUUUAGUCGUGUCUAGUCGAACGGGUCAUGAACAUUAUCGUUUGGAAGUUGUACAAAACAGGGAUACGCUCGUCUUACGGACGGGUCAUGCCCAAAUUUUGUUAAAAGUAUGUAUUAGUGUUGCUAGUUUUA